rnacentral:rRNA from 1 species
UACGUAGGUGGCAAGCGUUGUCCAGAUUUACUGGGCGUAAAGAGCGCGCAGGCGGUCGUUCAAGUCGCGUGUGAAAGCCCCCGGCUCAACUGGGGAGGGUCACGCGAUACUGAUCGACUCGAAGGCAGGAGAGGGUAGUGGAAUUCCCGGUGUAGUGGUGAAAUGCGCAGAUAUCGGGAGGAACACCAGUAGCGAAGGCGGCUCGCUGGGCCACACCUGACGCUGAGACGCGAAAGCUAGGGGAGCGAACAGG